CAGAAGGAUGGAGAUCCUGGAGGAAUUCAAAAAGAUGCCAGCUGACAGAGACAUGGUUCUCGUCCAUCAGCACAUGCAGCGCACCUUUCCACUCCGCCGUGAAGAGAUUGUGACCUUAGCUCCUCCCAUCGCAUAAUUGAAAGACAGAUGGCCUGCCCUCUUCUCUGAAGCUUAACUCUAUGGCGAAUUCCAUAGGAUCACAAAUCAAAGCCUUCAAUAUUCCUUCUUCGCUGCGCUCGAUAAAAACACUACACAGCUGCUCAAACUCUACAAAGAGAGGAAGACUGGAGCUUUUGGUGAGAAGAUGGCAGAUCUGCUGAUGGCAUAUGAGGAGCAGGACAAGAAUGACAUCAGUGCAACUAGAACAGCAGCACUGGCAGGGCUGCCACUGUACCUAAAAGAAGACUCAUCAGU